rnacentral:rRNA from 1 species
UACGGGGGGAGCAAGCGUUGUUCGGAUUUACUGGGCGUAAAGGGCGCGUAGGCGGUCAGCACAAGUCAGUUGUGAAAUCUCCGAGCUUAACUCGGAAAGGUCAACUGAAACUGUGCGACUAGAGUGCGGAAGGGGCAACUGGAAUUCUCGGUGUAGCGGUGAAAUGCGUAGAUAUCAAGAGGAACACCUGCGGCGAAGGCGGGUUGCUGGGCCGACACUGACGCUGAAGCGCGAAAGCCAGGGGAGCGAACGGG